ensembl:lncRNA
UACAUUUUCCAUCAUUAUUGAAUUUAUUGAAGAAGAAAAUAAGGAGAUAUCAGGAAUAAACAGCAGAGACACAGGACAGUAUAUUCAGGGAGACUCAUGGGAACCCAGGAGCAGUUACACGCUUUUAGUGGUUUCGGUCCGACUGUAGUCUGCCUUCCACAGUGGAUUACAGCUCCUUCAAUACCAGAGUGUUGAAUUAGAAAGACAACUCUCCAUUCUGAUGAAACCACAAAUUAUACAGAGAAAAAAAACUGGACGUUUAACAAUUCUCUCGAUUCAUAAAAUGUCUCAAUUCUGACACAACCAUCUAAAAAGAAAACAGUUAACUGUAGUUUAUUAAAAGUGCCGUUAGCUAAAACAAAUUGCCCCUCAUCAAUGACGACACAGAUAUUGACCAUUUUGAAUACCACAUUCACGCUCAGAUCCAAUAUGGAUCAAAUCAUUCACGCAUUCAUUUCCUGGUCAAAUCAUUCAUUUCCUGGUCAAAUCAUCCCAUUUCCUGGUUUCUCCACAAGACAAAAACUGGCCACAUUUCUGUUUUCCACUAUUGAUCAUUAUAACAGAAUGUGAAGUCACUAAGGCACCACUGAUCAUUAUAACAGAAUGUGAUGUCACUAAGGCACCGCGCUGAUCAUUAUAACAGAAUGUGAAGUCACCACUGAUCAUUAUAACAGAAUGUGAUGUCACUAAGGCACCGCGCUGAUCAUUAUAACAGAAUGUGAAGUCACCACUGAUCAUUAUAACAGAAUGUGAAGUCACCACUGAUCAUUAUAACAGAAUGUGAUGUCACUAAGGCACCGCGCUGAUCAUUAUAACAGAAUGUGAUGUGAUGAUCAUUAUAACAGAAUGUGAAGUCACCACUGAUCAUUAUAACAGAAUGUGAUGUCACUAAGGCACCACUGAUCAUUAUAACAGAAUGAUGUCACUAAGGCACCACUGAUCAUUAUAACAGAAUGUGAUGUCACUAAGGCACCACUGAUCAUUAUAACAGAAUGUGAUGUCACUAAGGCACCACUGAUCAUUAUAACAGAAUGUGAUGUCACUAAGGCACCACUGAUCAUUAUAACAGAAUGAUGUCACUAAGGCACCACUGAUCAUUAUAACAGAAUGUGAUGUCACUAAGGCACCACUGAUCAUUAUAACAGAAUGUGA